UACAGAGGGUGCAAGCGUUGUCCGGAAUCAUUGGGCGUAAAGCGCGCGUAGGCGGCCAGAUAAGUCCGGUGUGAAAGUCACAGGCUCAACCUGUGAAUGCCGCUGGAAACUGUCUGGCUUGAGUCCGGAAGGGGCGAGUGGAAUUCCUGGUGUAGCGGUGAAAUGCGCAGAUAUCAGGAGGAACACCAAUGGCGAAGGCAGCUCGCUGGAACGGUACUGACGCUGAGGCGCGAAAGCGUGGGGAGCGAACAGG
rnacentral:rRNA from 1 species